GGAAGGGAAUUUAUUUUUCCCAUUCAUUUUUCUUCUCCUUCCCGUAAACAUGCAUAAACCCCUCUUCCUCCAUCUUUUCUUUCUACCCCAAAAUUGCUUCAAAUUUCCAUCUCUAAUCAACUAUCCAUCUUCUCCCAACAUAUUUUCAAAGUAGAAUUUGAAGAAAAGAAGAGAAAUCAAGAGAAAAUUUAAGGUUGAAAGAGAGUGAAUAGUAACCAAGGGUUUGAAAAUUUAAAGGUAUGUUAGGGGUUUUUGUUGUAGGGAUAUUUCUUAUCAUUUUAUGUGAAUAUUUAUGAGAAAUAUUGUAUUAAUUUGAUUUAUUGGUGUAUUUUUUUUUCAUGAAGAAGAAGUGGAAGGGAAAGGAAAAGAAAAGGAAAAUUAGGGAAUUUUAAGCUUGAGGAAGAUCUUGGGAAGGUUUGUGCUCAACUCUAUUUUAAUAAAUUUAAGAAAUUGUUAUUUAUGUUCUAUUUGAAAUUUUAUUACCCUAGUAGAAAUAGACCAAGUGAACAAUAGCUUAAUUGUAUUUGUAUAAUCAAAGUUUGAGAAAUAAUAGAUUUCAUAGAUAGAAAAUUUUAAAAUUAAUAUAUAAUUUAACCAAAAUUUAAGUUAUGGAUAUAAUGAAAUGACUUUAUUUUCUCUGAUAGAAAAAUAAUUUGGUUAGAUAUAGUGACAAUAAAAAAAAAUAGUAGGCUAAAGAAAAAAAAGAAGAGAUAUUAGAUUAAAUGAAAAAAAAAAGAAAUUAAAGGAAUAAGAAAAAUAAAAAUAGGAAUUAUAAAGAAAAAUGAAAUAAGGUAUAUUGUGAUAAAUAGAAAAAAUAUAUAUUAGAUUAGAAAAUAAUAAUAAUAAUAAUAAAAAGAAUAAUAGUUAAUUAAUUAAGGAUUAAAUUAUGAAUUUGUAAUUUAUGUAGUUAAAUUAAAUUAAUAAAUUUAUAUGAUAUGACAAUGUUUAAAAGUAAUAUUUAAAAGCAGAGUUGUAAUAUGAUAAAAUAUUAUAGUUUGAAGAAUUGACAGUUACACUGUAUUGAUAAUUUUUGUCCCUCUGUUUAAAUGUAUAAAUUAUUCAAAGUCUGGCCCUAGUGAAUUUGAUGGGUAUUGUGAGUUAGUUUAAGGGUGUGGCAUGCCAUAUAUAGAUACUGCAGUACUGCACUACAGUUACACUGAUUUUUGGGAUACAAUGAGGUACCCUACAGUUAUAAACUCAGCUUUUGAGCCAUACAGUUAUUUGGCACUUUGUGCCCUACAGAUACAGUUUCCUUAUCUGACCUAACAGUCCCAUUUAAAUUUAUAGGGGCCGAAAGAAAAAUAAUAAAUAAAUAAAAGCAUUAAGAGAAAACAAAACUUUUUACAUGAAGAAAAAGAAAAAGACUAUGAAAGUAAAAUUUGUAUAUAUGUGAAAUAAUAAUAUGAUUUAGAAUUAUUUCAAAUUAUUUGUUAUAUAGUUUAUUGUUAUUUGUUUGAUUUAUUGUUGAUAAAUGAAUUUUGAUUUAAAUGUUUUAUUUAUAAAAAAAAAAAGUUGAGCAUCACUAAGCAAAUUGCUUAGCGUGUAGAAAUUUAUUUUUCCUCGCGCAGGCUGUAGAUUCAAGGAACAGUA
rnacentral:lncRNA from 1 species